AGCCGUGAUAACGAUCGCUACCUUACAAGAAAUGUAAUCCGACAACCUAAAGGAUGGAUAGAGAAGAUCCGUUCGAUUAAAUAACUCGUAUAUUGUAUUAAGUCAUUGAAAGAAGCGUAUAGUAUACUAUAGACUACUUGUCCUAUGAUUAUACGAUUUAUUGAGACAUGAUGCCACAGAUGUGCAACUCUACUAAAAUGCCGGCGCAUGUCAUUCGGAUAAUCCGAUUAAUUAGGCGAUAGAUGUGCAUCAGCGCCGUCUGUCGUAUAUACCGAUAAAUUUUGAAAAACCAAUGAUUUAUAUGACCACGUCGACAUUCGGUAGACGCCACACAGAAAACUAUAAAUAACUAGAAAAAAAGAAUUUCCUGAUCUUUAUAUAAUUUGAAAUGAUAGACUUUUUAUAAAGAAUUUCGUUUAUGCAGUUAUAAAUUCAACGAAAAAAAAAUAUCUAAUAGAAAAAAAUAAUUAUAUUGUCUAAAAAAAAGUGUCUUACAAAAAAGUGUCUAGAGUGAAUGUCUCCUUUAUCAAAGAUAUACAUGAACAAACUAUAGCUAUGAUAAAAAAACACAAACAAUAACCUGAGAAAAUUAUCUCAUCGUUAAGUAUUUGUAUGUUCUUCGGAUAUCUCUUGGAACAAGCUUCGAGUUAUUGGUUCUUCACCAUAUCUUCUGGACUACGAUGUCGCCGAUGGUGCAGAAAGAAAGCCAGGUUGAAGCCAAUAGACCAUCUUAAAAUUCAAGAAGCGGCACCUGCCUCUUUUGCUUACACGCCUUUCGAUAUAUCUCUUCAACGAGAUUGAAACAAGGAUAGAAAUGAUAAUUAAAAUGUAUUACCAUGAACACAUGCCAUCAGUGUUCGUUUAAAUCAGCCUCGAGCGAAUAACAACGUAAAUACAAAAAUGGAAAAAAAGAAAUCAAUCAGAUAAAACGUCAGCGCAACAUUAUCUUAAAAAAACACAUCACAGCAAGACUUCCUCUUCGAAAGGAAAAAAAAUACCAAAAUCUGCGGCCAUCAGCAGUGCGGCAUUAUAAAAUGUCUCCAAGAGGUGCAUGCAUUGCGUUUUCUUGCUUCCGCGACACUGGUAUCAGGCCGGCCUACGAUUUCCGUGGCUCGUAAACAUAACGCAAUUAGGCAAAGUGGCCAUUUAAAUCACCUCUGUAGCCGCGACUAAAGUUACCCGUUAUCUGUAUACUUUACGAGGGGAGUGAGUAACAGCGCGUUACUCGCGCGCGAGUAACCGUCGUGUUUCCAACCGUACACGGCCGUACACCACGAUAAACCUUAUCCACACUCGUCCGACUAUCGCCAACUUCUCUUGAGGCAUUCAAAAAAGAGGAGGGGAAAAAGCCACGCGGACCAUUUUCGAGCGUAACUUGCUCAUAAACUAGAAGGGUAAUCGUAGAAACAGAACAUUCCUUCGGGAAUGUUUGUUACAAGAAAGGAGUACGCGAACUCUUCGAAUGUGGAUGUGCUGUUUCGAUAACGAGUUACUUGUUGUUGAGUAACACAUGAGAAAUUUCAAGAACCCUUCUUUGAAGAAUUUUUAGAAUGUGGAUGGAAGAUCUUCAAUUUGCAAGAAUUGAAAAAAAUUUUGAUUCAGAGUUGAUAAUUAUAUAAAAAUGUAUAUAAUGCCUAACUUCGUUAGGAAAGUUAGGAAAAUUAAUACAUUCAUUUUUGAUAAUGAAAAAUAACUAUCGUUUAUGAUUCUAAUAAAUUUAUGCUUCAAAAGGAAUAUAUAUAUAUACUCAAUUAUUCAAGAUAAUAAUUCAUCAUAAUGAAGAAACAAAUAUCAUAAUAUACUAUGAAAAGACAAUAGAAAAGAAUCAAUCUACUUGAUGUGUUUAACGAUAGAUAAUAUCCAUGAGACUGUUGUUCCGUUACCAGUCAUUAAAUUAUACUAUGUUGUAUUAUACUAUGUUAACCAGUCUAUCCAUCUCGUCAUAAUAUAUCUCUACAUUUUAAUUAGGACGUAUCGUAUUAAUCGUCUGACCUUUUCCAAUCGAAUAUGUCGAGAAAGGAUUGAAUUAAUGAUGACGACUGGUCGAGAACCAUCCAUCAAAAGGAACCCUUUUUUUUUCCUUUCGUAAAUUACAUUAAUUUCAAUCAUUGGAAAGCACACUUAUUAACGAUUUCCUCUUCACAGUAUAUAACAUCAGGUACAUCAUUAUAUCUUUAAUUAUUUACCUCGCUUGAUUUCAGGUCUACCAUUGAUCAUUUUUGAGGGCGUGAGAGUUUAAAUAGCGAUCAUAGAGUAUUAAUAUUAACGAAGGACGAACAAUAUUAUUCCUACUUUCUAAUGCAUAUGGUAUUGUCGACGGAAGAGGAUGAAUCGUCCAUUUGCGGAAAUAAACGCCCUCGUGCACGAAACGUAAAACGAAACAGUUCCGGUCAACGUCCCUAAGCUAAUGAUGAUUGUUACAGAAGGAAGGGACGAAGCUUGGAAAACAUAUCCGGACGUAACCAAUGAAUAUCCGCAAUUUUCGUGUAAAGAAAAGAAGAGAGGGAAAAAGAAAGAAAGAAAAAAAAGAAUAUAUUGGUACUCGAGAAGUGAAAGGAAAUAUCCAUAGUCCGGUCACAUCAGGUUGCAUAAUGCGAACCCUCUAUGACUGUUUACUUAGGGCGAAAUGUGGUUUGUUCCUUCCGUGACAGGCUACAUGUUAAACCAUCCCUCUCAUGAGAGAGGAUGAAACCUCUUCGUAAAAUCUUACGAUCCCUCUAUCCUAUCCGAGGUUGUAAAAAUCCUUCAACUACCAUCUCACGCGUCGAUAAUGAGAUAAUAUAAAAAGGAGACAAAGAUUGCUCGUUUAUUGUUCUUUAAAGGAAAGAAAAUAGAUCUAAUCUCAAAGGAAUAUUGGAUAUGUUUCUUUCCUGAGAAAAUACGAAUUUAGACACAAGAACAAGUGACCGGAUGGACAUUGAGAGGGUAAAAGCAGAUACUGUACCACAUGACACCUCGUGUGAAACUUUGCAGUGUCCGACUAUCGAAUGUAGAUACUAUUUUUAUAAUCAGGAACAUCCUUCGAUUUUAAUUCGAGCAUUGUUGCCGAAGAUCAUUUACUAUCUCUGUCUUAAGUGGCCAAAUAUAAAUAGUAUCGAAUAACAUUAUACAGAUGAAAAAACAUCACUACGGAAACCGAGAAUAUGAAAAGAAAAUAAAUAGCCAGUGUUAAAAACCGAUGUAAAAAUCGAAAUUGAAAUUUCAUUGGAUUGAUAGUGGAACAAAAAAAUGAUUAUUGUUAAUUUAGAUUAAAUUUUAAACAGUUUAUAAUAUGUAGAUUAACUCUUUUCAUACAAUUAUUCCAAUUACAAACUCAAAAUUCAUUAAUGUUGGAUCAAUUCAGACUCUUCCACAUACAAUGAUAUACAUAAUCAUGGUCAUAAUGGUCCAGAAAAAGGGAAUACGAUUCCCACAGUCUGGUUGACACAUCCACCGUGUCAUCCUGCACUUAUGUAUACCUGGUUCGCUACGCAGGUGAUCUGCAAUACCAGAAGAUUCAGUUUUCGGCUAUGUUACGAAAUUCCCGAUCAUUUAUACACUCCCACGGUUGGAUUUUCAUCUAUUCAAAUAUCGACGAUGGAAAUUCUUGGCGCAACGAUCAACGUACAUUCCGAAAGGAGUGAGUUCAAGGAUCGAUCCCACGGUUUACGCGUAUGCACACACCGUGGUCCAUCCCUUUCCCCCUCAAAAUUGCAUCCCUCAAUGGACAUUUCACAGUUUCCCAGGUCGAUCCAGGUAACACGAUCGGAAUCGAUAUUUGAAUGGACGUUUACAUAAGAGGCCACGCAUCUCUCUACGUCGUUUACCUGAGAAUGGUAAAGGGUUACGCCAAUCUUUUAUUACCCUUCACCCCCAUGGAAUGGAGAUUGUGAUGGAUAGAUCUUAUGUGAUGUCUGUAGUGACAGUCCUAUUAUUUGGAAUUCAAUAAUGAAUAACUACUCCUGAACAGACGAGUGACUUCACAGAUUAAUCGCGGAUCUCCGUCGAUGUCUUUCGAGAUCCGUUCCCCCUUCAAGAUCGAUGAAAAUCCUAUUACAGGACAACGUUUUGUGUAUCGAGGAGCUUGGUAAUAAUGCGAUCCAUUCGAAAUACCCUUUACGAAAAUGUUAGGAGGAAACGAUCGCCGGUCCGGUGGAGGAAAGAAUUACGUUUUGAAAAUGAUUGGAAACCGGCUGAAAGGCCCCUGUCCAUUCUGAAUGCUAAGCUGCCUAAUUUCAUCCCUCGGUGUCUAGAUAGUAUUUCAUCUUCUGGCAAAUCCCUGGAACAGCUAUGAGAAAUUAAAUGCAUAUAACGAAAAAGUGGAAAAUAUUGAGAAAUAUGUAAAAUUAAAAAUGAAAAAUGAAAAUGAUACAGAACAAAAUAAUUUUGAUAUAUAAGAAAAUACAAAAUUAUGUUGAAGAAUAAAAUGAAACUUGGAUAGUUGAGAUUGGAUAGAAUAAAAUUGGAAAACUGUAAUAAAAUCUUCUCCAUUUUCUAAUAAUUGUAUCACAAAUAUUUCGUUCGAAAAUAUAUUUUUAUUAUAUUACAUACGAAUUGUAUUUUUAAAUUUGCACAAGAUUUUUCCGUAAACAGAAUAUCUUGAAUAAAUCUUGAGGACAUACUUACAAGCAUUCCUACGUGAA